rnacentral:tRNA from 1 species
GUCCUAGUAGCUCAACUGGAUAGAGCAGGCCCGUCCUAAGGGCAAGGUUGUAGGUUCGACUCCUACCUAGGAUA